rnacentral:miRNA from 1 species
AAUCUGGAAGUCAGCACAUGCU